GAUAGAGGGAGGGCAAACAGACUCCAGAGGCUGAGCACCCUCUGAAGGUGAUGUGCUGGGAUUCCUGGAGCCCUGCUGUACAAAACACUAAGUACACAGGGCAUCAGGCAGACAGCAGGAUCAGCCUAUCCAUAGCUAUGAGUUAUCAAGAAGACAGAGCCAAGAUUCCUUCCAGAGACAAUUUGCAGGAGGAGGCAGGAGAAUGCUUGCAGGUGAAGGCUUCCAGGCUGUCAUCCCAGAGCCAGGUCUGUGGGAGAGGACAUGAAGG
rnacentral:lncRNA from 1 species